rnacentral:rRNA from 1 species
UUAAAUUGAAGAGUUUGAUCAUGGCUCAGAUUGAACGCUGGCGGCAGGCCUAACACAUGCAAGUCGAACGGUAACAGGAAGCAGCUUGCUGCUUUGCUGACGAGUGGCGGACGGGUGAGUAAUGUCUGGGAAACUGCCUGAUGGAGGGGGAUAACUACUGGAAACGGUGGCUAAUACCGCAUAACGUCGCAAGACCAAAGAGGGGGACCUUCGGGCCUCACACCAUCGGAUGUGCCCAGAUGGGAUUAGCUAGUAGGUGGGGUAACGGCUCACCUAGGCGACGAUCCCUAGCUGGUCUGAGAGGAUGACCAGCCACACUGGAACUGAGACACGGUCCAGACUCCUACGGGAGGCAGCAGUGGGGAAUAUUGCACAAUGGGCGCAAGCCUGAUGCAGCCAUGCCGCGUGUAUGAAGAAGGCCUUCGGGUUGUAAAGUACUUUCAGCGAGGAGGAAGGCGUUGUGGUUAAUAACCACAGCGAUUGACGUUACUCGCAGAAGAAGCACCGGCUAACUCCGUGCCAGCAGCCGCGGUAAUACGGAGGGUGCAAGCGUUAAUCGGAAUUACUGGGCGUAAAGCGCACGCAGGCGGUUUGUUAAGUCAGAUGUGAAAUCCCCGGGCUCAACCUGGGAACUGCAUUUGAAACUGGCAAGCUUGAGUCUCGUAGAGGGGGGUAGAAUUC